CACGUAGGGUGCGAGCGUUGUCCGGAAUUAUUGGGCGUAAAGAGCUCGUAGGCGGUGUGUCGCGUCGGCCGUGAAAACUUGGGGCUUAACUCUGAGCGUGCGGUCGAUACGGGCAUCACUUGAGUUCGGCAGGGGAGACUGGAAUUCCUGGUGUAGCGGUGAAAUGCGCAGAUAUCAGGAGGAACACCGGUGGCGAAGGCGGGUCUCUGGGCCGAUACUGACGCUGAGGAGCGAAAGCGUGGGGAGCAAACAGG
rnacentral:rRNA from 1 species